GACGAACGCUGGCGGCGUGCUUAACACAUGCAAGUCGAACGGAAAGGCCCUGCUUUUGUGGGGUGCUCGAGUGGCGAACGGGUGAGUAACACGUGAGUAACCUGCCCUUGACUUUGGGAUAACUUCAGGAAACUGGGGCUAAUACCGGAUAGGAGCUCCUGCUGCAUGGUGGGGGUUGGAAAGUUUCGGCGGUUGGGGAUGUACUCGCUGCUUAUCAGCUUGUUGGUGUGGUAGUUGCUUACCAAGGCUUUGACGGGUAGCCGGCCUGAGAGGGUGACCGGGCACAUUGGGACUGAGAUACGGCCCAGACUCCUACGGGAGGCAGCAGUGGGGAAUAUUGCACAAUGGGCGGAAGCCUGAUGCAGAAACGCCGCGUGCGGGAUGACGGCCUUCGGGUUGUAAACAGAUUUCGCCUGUGACGAAGCGUGAGUGACGGUAAUGGGUAAAGAAGCACCGGCUAACUACGUG
rnacentral:rRNA from 1 species